rnacentral:lncRNA from 1 species
UCAGAUAUUUGAAAAAGUGGCAAUGCAUGAACUACGAGCCCUUGUUUCAGCUGAAAGCUCAAAACUGACAACAUAUGUAUCUGGAGAAUCAAUCGACAUCGAUUACAACAGCGUCGGUUUGUUAUUAGAAGGAUUCAUAAAACCUGUUGGUAUCCAAGAAGAGCUUGUACCAUCUCCUGCUGCAUUGCUACCUUAUAACGAGAAUCAAAGCUUCCGUGACGCAUCAGAAGCGUCAGGUAAACAAAAAGUCAACACAGAAUACAAAGAAGAAUCAAACCCUCUUAUCAAAAACUGUGUGUUUGGUGUUUUGAUCACAGGUAUCAUGAGAGUUAGUUUCUCAAGACAAGCAACACAAUACAGUGUGGAGACAAGAGCAAGAGUAAUCAGCUUCAACACUGGAGCAUUUGGAGCUCAUAGGACUCUACAACGAAAACCAUCUUCGUUGUCAUCGCAAAUUGGGACAAGUUCCGAGCACCAGCUCCAGAGAUCAUCUAGUAAAGAACACAGAGGUCUCAUGAGCUGGCCUGAAAGUAUUUACAAAACUGAACAACAAGAAGAGAUCAAUAGAAAGGCGUUAAACUUAUCUGAACAAGCAAGACAACUUAGCAUUUUCGGCAGCAAGGUAAAAAAGAUAACACACUUUGAGAUGAGUUAUGAGAUUGUCAACUUCUCGACUAACAAGAAACGUUCUGAAUCAGGUUAAUCUGUUCACAAGGAGUGCAAGUUUCGGAGGGAUCAUCAACAACAAGCCACAAGAUAACGUAUUGUACAAGAAACAUCCAUUAGACGCAGCGAAAUCAGAAAGCUCCAUGGCCACCAGGGAGCAGGUUGAGACCAGGAAGUUUGUGUCUCAGCUUCCUGCACACGUAGCCUCAGCAGAGAGCAGCACAAGAAGAAAACCAAUGGCGGAGUCGAGCGAUGAUGAAGAGGAAGGAAUCAUUGUGAGGAUCGAUUCUCCGAGCACAAUCGUUUUCAGGAAUGAUAUGUGAGGGCAUUGAGAUGUUUUGUAACAUAAUAAAAAGAAGAAAAAUGUUAGCUUACAGAGUUAUUGUGCAAAAGAAUAAAAGGCAAAACAACAGACGCUGUUUUGAUGAAGGUUUGCUAGAAACAUUGACAAAUCCACAGACACCGAUCUUUUUGUAUGCGCUUAUAUAUUUCCAUGUUAUUUAUUCAACAUAUCAAGGUUUUUUUUUCUGUCAACUAACAAAUGGUGAGUAGAUGGGGUAAGUAAUGAAAGUCUAAAAGUUAUAUGGGUUGAGAACUAUAUUUUUAAAAAAUUAACGUAUUUAUAUACCCAUAAAUUAGGUACUAUAAAAUUGUAUUUAUUUAAAUUUAUUCAAAUUACCAAUCAUCAACAUGAGAUCAUAAUUAAGGAAAAUUUGAAACCAAAAAUAAUCAGAGCAGCAUGAAAGAAAAGGGUUUCAAAGGUAGCUUAAUUAGAGAUAAAAACAACAAAAUAUUAACUCAUUAAACUUUAUGAGCAAAUCUUGUUCUUGUUAGUCUUCUUUGUCUCCACAACCUUCUUCCAAUAUGCCGUAACUUCCCUCGUCGUCUCCUCCUCCGUCUUCUUAACACCUUUAGCUUUUCCAUUAGCCAUCUUGGCGUGAACCUUCGCCGGAAGUGUUUCUAGCUCGCGAAGAACCUUCUCAAAGUCUGCGACCAAUCUCUCAGCUAAGGUUCGAGAGAAAUCUUCUCGAAUCACCACUCGGAGGACGGUGACGUGUUCUGCAUCCGCGGGCAUCGUGUAGGCCGGAACGAUCCACCCGAAGCGGCGGAGAGUUUCGGCCACUUCGAACUCGUCGUGGCGGCUACUGUCUUUUAGAGAAAACGCCACUAAAGGAACACCGUUUUCUUUGGAGACAAUGUUGAAACGUCCCGUUUUCUCUAAUCCUUCUCUUAAGACCAUCAUGUUUUCGCGGCAAUUAUCCAUCACGUUACGAUAUCCCUAAACCCACAAAAAAUUAUCAAUCAAUAAUAUUACUUUACAAAGUUACGCAUGAUAAUAUAUUUUACUCACUUAUAUGUAGUUUUCAACAAGACCAGUUCAACAUUUUGGGGACUUUGAGACUACAAAAAGCUAUAUAUUUUAAAAAAGUUUUACUAAAUUUUCUCUUUUAAAAAUUUAGAAAUAAUAUUUUUGAACAUUUUAUAAUAUAUACACAAAAUAUCUUAAAAUUUCAACCUAAUAGUUAAAAAAAAAUAGUUGAAGAAGUUUUGGAGAUUUUAUCGGAAGAACAUCGGAUUAGACGCAGAAUGGUCGCACCACUUGUUCCCUCCUAAACCAGCACUGUUCAGUCAUUUUGAGUUACUAACCUCGAAUCCAAGACGAAUCAGCUGGUAGUACUGAGCAAUCACUUGACUCGAACCUAGUUUAUACAAGCAUUAACAAAUCAUUAGUUAUGCAUACAAUAUAUAAUAUUUUUAUACAAAUAUAGAAAUGGUAGUGUAAUAUGCUACCUUUGGAGAAGUUGAGAGUGAAGGUGGGUUGAUCAGCGCCGAGAUAAUUGAUGUGGAAGAUAAGUUCUUCCGGCAGAUCAGAUUUGGUUCUCCACACAACCCAACCGAUUCCGGCAUAAACCAAACCGUAUUUGUGACCACUGACAUUUAUGCUCUUAACCAAUGGUAACCGGAAGUCCCACUCCAGCUCCGGAUACAAGAACGGUGCAAUAAACCCACCACUCGCUGCAUCCACGUGAAUCCCCGUAUCCCAUCUGCGAAUUAAAGAAAAAAUUUUAAACCGGAAAUGAACCGGUUAAAAUCGAUUAAUUAAUAGCUACAUGUUAGUUCAAUUACCUGGUUAGCUUGUUUUUCUCGACUAGGAGGUCAUUGAGGAGCUUAACGUCUUCGAACUCUCCGGUUAGCCUCGAACCUAGAAUGGCUGCUACACAAAUGGUGUUCUCGUCUACCAUUUCGACUGCCUUUUCAGGGUCCAUCACGUAGUAUCCUUCUCUUAGCUUCACUUCCUUAAGCUCCACCUCGAAAUACCUUGCGAAUUUCUCCCAGCAAACCUAUAUUAAACCGGAUAUUAGUAAACCAUAGACCUUAACCGGAAAUAUCAUCUUUUGGUUUAAUAUUUCAAUUCUCUGGUUGGUUUAGCUCUGUAAUUUGCGAAAGAAAAAAAAGAGAACUAAGACUCCAUUAGAAUUUUCUGGUUUGGGGUUUCAGCUUGCGGUUUAGAUUUCUGUUUCAAGAUAGAGAAAUAAAGAGCUAAACCGGUUUAAUCUUGUGCUUUGUUACCUGAACAUUAGCUCCGGUUACGAUAUUGGGCUUAUCAUAAGGAAGCCCUUGGGCCUUACGCUUAUUCUGCCACUGUCUCUUAAAAGCCAACCCGGCCAACAUAAUCGCCUCCGACGAUCCCACGGUGCCGACACCAACCGCAGCCUCGCCGUCAUCGAGCGGCGCGUUAAAGAGACGCGCAAUCAUGUUGACGCAUCGGUUCUGAAGCUCGGUGGUGACAGGGUACUCGUCCAUGUCAACGUAGUUCUUGUUGAUGGAUUCCAUCAUGAGCUUGUCACACUCUGGCUCCAUCCACGUGGUUACGAAAGAGGCUAGGUUUAGCCUAGGGUUACCGUCGAGCAUUAGCUCAUCGUUGAUGAUCUGAUACGCUGCUUCCUUAGGGAUAGAGUUCUCAGGCAUCUCGAAUCUGAUGAUGAUGAAAACAUUAGGUUAAAAAUAUAAAAGCAUAUUAACGACGUGACAAGUCAUGCAAUGAAACGUUACUAUUAGUUUCAUGCAAUAUUUCAUAGCUCAUAUUCUCACCGUGGGAGAGAGUUGCGGACGUAACGAGAAGCAAAAGUUGAAUGGAUUGAAACAUCAGUUUCAGAAGCUGUCUUAGACAAAACCAUCUUCUUUCAAUUCACUCGAAUUGUCUAUGCAAACUUUGAAUGAUAUAUGGGUUUGUAAUGUUUAUGUUUGUAGUUGAAGAAUGUGUGGAAUGAGAAGACGAUAAACAAAUGGUUUAUAUAGUGGAAGAGAGUGGUUCAUUUCGUUUCGUUUUGCGACGUGAGAGGAAGCAUCUAUGGUCUUCGUUUAUGGGCUCCUUUGUAACUUUUCUCCUACCGAUGACUUUUCAUUAAUAUAUAAUAUCAAAGACCAACGAAUCAUUGCUUUCAAAAACUGCAUGAGUAUUAUAAUUAAAUAAAAUAAUAACAGUUGACCGUUAAAAGAAACUUUAAUCUAGUGAUUUAGAGAUUUCUACUAUCAUAUUUCAAUUCACUACAAGAAAACAUCAAGGAUUCUGAGGGAAAAAAUCGUCGGAAUUUCGUCGGAAUAUCGUUAUUCCGACGCAAUUCCGACGAAAUACGUCGUCGGAAAUAAUUCCUCGGAAUUUCUUUUUUCCUCUGAAAUCCCUCGGAAUUUUCCGACGGAAUUCCGAGGAAAUAAAUUUCCGAGGAAAUUCCGAGGAUCCCUUGUUUGUCGGAAAAGUCCUCGGAAUAUACCGAGGUAGAACUUCGUCGGGAUAAUUCCUCGGAAGUUCAUCGAUCGAUGCGUGUUUGGACAUAUAUACAUCGAUCGAUAGGAGUAUACCGACGGACUUUUUCCUCGGUUUAUUCCGAGGAACUGUAUGGUCUGGUUUGAGGGGUGCAGUGGCGCUCUCACUUUCUUUAUCUGUGAAGGUUAGUUUUCAAGAACAUUGUCAAUCUUGUUCUUGUGUCUCUUGAAUUUAUUUUGCCACAUUGCUUCAGUCUUGAAUUAACUUAUUCUUAAUCAUUUGAUUCAGCAAUCAAGCGGAAAUUCAUUUCUCAGCAGGGAGACAGGAACAUUGGUAAGUUCAGAAAAUUGUCUGCAAGGUGUUAUGCCUAAAUGAAUUAUAGAAGACUUAUCUUUUCGGUCUCUUGAUAUUCUCAGUUCUUUUGCAGUUUAUUUUCUUCACAGGUGGAAUUGUGUUUCUAACUCUGAUAGUUAAUGGUUCCACUACCCAAUUUGCUCUGCGCCUUCUUCGAAUGGACGGUUUACCAGCCACAAAGGUCAUAAUCUUUUCACAGACUUCAUUUCCAACUUAAGUAUGAAAUGCUUAAACCCUUUUAUUUAUUCGAAAUUCUCCUUUUUUCUUGUUGACAGCUACGAAUCUUGGAUUAUACAAAGUAUGAAAUGCUGAAUAAGGCCUUACAAGCGUUUGAAGAUCUAGGAGACGAUGAAGAGCUAGGACCUGCUGACUGGCCUACAGUUGAAAAAUAUAUUUCAAGCUUAAAAGAUUCAGAAGGGGAACAAGUUCAUCCUCACAGUGGCUCUAAGACUGGAAAUCUUGACAGUACGAGUUUAAAGGACAUACGUAUACGAUUCUUAAAUGGUAACUAUCAUGUCAUUUUCGAACCAAUUACACUAUCCCAUUAGUCAAAUUAUUUACCCUUAGUUCAAUCAUCAGGUGUUCAGGCAGCUUACUGGGAGAUGCUUGAUGAGGGAAGAAUAUCUGAAAGUACAGCUAAUAUAUUGAUGCGGUCAGUGGAUGAGGCCUUGGAUCGGGUUUCUACGGAGUCUUUAUGUGACUGGAGAGGUCUAAAAGAGCAUGUUAAGUUCCCCGGUUACUACAAUUUUCUUCAUUCUAAACUUAUCCCAGGGAAGUUGGUCAUAUACUUUGCUGUUGAAAGACUCGAAUCUGCAUGCUACAUUUCCGCUGCAUUUCUUCGCGCACAUACAAUUGCGAGGCAGCAACUGUAUGAUUUUAUAGGUAUGUAUGACUGGACCAUCUUUGUUGAUCUAUCAGAGAUAUUGUUUGCAAGUACCCUACUUUUGUCUCUUAGUUAUCUUUCUUCUUUAUACAGGGGAGAGUAGUAUCGGCUCUACUGUAAUCAAGGAGAGUGAAACCGAAGGAGCAGAAGCUAAAGAGUUUUUGGAAAAAGUUCGAUCUUCACUUCCUCAGGUUGAUAGUCGUGUCACUUAUUUAUGGUGAUUUAUCUUUCUCGCGAUGAACCACAUAUAAUCUUUGAUCAACUUGGUGUGUAGGUUCUCCGUGUUGUGAAAACGAAACAAGUAACAUAUUCAGUGCUGAAUCAUUUACUCGAAUACAUUCAAAACCUUGAGAAGAUUGGCUUGUUGGAAGAAAAAGAAAUCGCUCAUCUUCAUGAUGCUGUCCAGGUACCAAAUGAAAGAAUCAUAUUCUUUCAACACAUGGUCAUGUCUCUUUUUUCUAAUUUUACCUCUCUCUCUCUCUCUCUCUCUCUCUCUCUUUGCGCAGACUGGCUUGAAGAAGCUUUUGAGAAACCCUCCAAUAGUAAAACUUCCAAAGUUAAGCGACCUGAUCUCCUCACAUCCGUUAUCUGGUGCUCUUCCUGCUGCAAUAUGUGAACCUCUAAAACACUCGAAGAAAGAAACAAUGAAGCUGCGUGGUGUGACGCUUUAUAAAGAAGGUUCAAAGCCAACUGGAGUCUGGCUUAUUUGUGACGGUAUUGUUAAGGUAAACCCAAAACUUAGUCAUAAUAUCGAAAGGUUCAUGAUCUCCUUCAUCACUGAAAGUUAUCAUGAUAAAUCAUAUUACAGUGGAAAUGCAAAAGCUUAGGCAACAAUCACUCGCUGCAUCCAACUUUCUCUCAUGGUAGUACAUUGGGACUCUACGAAGUCCUCACUGGGAAGCCAUACAUGUGCGACAUGGUUACAGAUUCUGUGGUUCUUUGCUUCUUUAUCAGUAGUGAUAGAAUACUAGCUUUUGUACAUUCGGAUUCUACCAUUGAAGAUUUCCUUUGGAAGGUACGUCUCUAUAUAAAUCCAUUAAAGAGAAACAUCCUCUCGUGAUUGUCAACUUCUUUCCUGUUUCUUCUUUCUCCAGGAAAGUGCAUUGGUGCUUCUCAAACUCCUGCGUCCUCAGAUAUUUGAAAAAGUGGCAAUGCAUGAACUACGAGCCCUUGUUUCAGCUGAAAGCUCAAAACUGACAACAUAUGUAUCUGGAGAAUCAAUCGACAUCGAUUACAACAGCGUCGGUUUGUUAUUAGAAGGAUUCAUAAAACCUGUUGGUAUCCAAGAAGAGCUUGUACCAUCUCCUGCUGCAUUGCUACCUUAUAACGAGAAUCAAAGCUUCCGUAACGCAUCAGAAGCUUCAGGUAAA